rnacentral:rRNA from 1 species
GACAUGCAGAGAACUUUCCAGAGAUGGAUUGGUGCCUUCGGGAACUCUGACACAGGUGCUGCAUGGCUGUCGUCAGGCUCGUGUCGUGAGAUGUUGGGUUAAGUCCGUAACGAGCGCAACCCUUGUCCUUAGUUACCAGCACGUUAUGGUGGGCACUCUAAGGAGACUGCCGGUGACAAACCGGAGGAAGGUGGGGAUGACGUCAAGUCAUCAUGGCCCUUACGGCCUGGGCUACACACGUGCUACAAUGGUCGGUACAAAGGGUUGCCAAGCCGCGAGGUGGAGCUAAUCCCAUAAAACCGAUCGUAGUCCGGAUCGCAGUCUGCAACUCGACUGCGUGAAGUCGGAAUCGCUAGUAAUCGUGAAUCAGAAUGUCACGGUGAAUACGUUCCCGGGCCUU